AUGGCUUGUUCCUUGUUUAAUCUAACCUUUCAUUUUCUUUCCUCGGAAAGUAAGCUUAGGUUCCAUGAAGACACAGAGAAAGCAGAGGCGGAUGCCGCAUGCCCCUGCUCUCAAUUCUCAGAAAUUUUAGGUCGUUCGAUGAAAACCAACCCUGCUGGAACGACUGCUCCUGGUUAAGAGCACUGGCUGCUCUUGCAGAGGACCUAGGUUUCCGUUCCGUUCCUACUUGGAACCUACUUGGCAGCGCACAGACACCGGUAACUCCAGAUCUAGGGGAUCCAGCGCCCUCCUCUGGCUUUGAUGGGCACUGCAUGCAGUAAUAUAUAUCGGUGAGCUUUUCCACCCAGCUACUUCGUUCCUAGAAUAACGAUUCUGAGUAUUAAUAAAUGCUUAGACCAUAAGCUUCGGCCUGGUCCCUGACUUGCUUGUUACUUAUAUAACCCAUUUAAACUAGUCUUAAGUUCUGCCACGGAGUUAGUUAGUUACCUCUCCUCCGGUUUAUGUGAUCAUCUUCCCCAUAGUUUCCAGGCAAAUCCCUGUUCCUCUUUCCCAAAAUCAACCAACCAAUCAAUCAGUAAAUCAAUCUCUCUCUAUCUCUCCCUCCUCCCCCCCAACCCGGAUGUCCCACCUUCUAAUCCUGCCUCAGCUCAUUGGCCACAGGCUUUUUGAUUGACAGUAUCUGAGUCUUACAGUAGUGCAUACACAUAGUUGUGGGCAAAACAUUCAUAUGGAUUUUUUUUUUAAAUAAAAAACCUCAGUCCCAACAAAUCCUUGUUCUAGAAGGUAUGGCCCAGAGGUAAGCCUAGAGACAUAUGUAUUAAUCCCAACUGCUAUCCAUAACAGUUAUUGUAUUUUUUUUCUGCUUUAGAGAGCAAGUCCUCAAAUUAGAAGUAGAGACAGCUCCUACAGAGCAAUAAAAUAAAAAUGCACCAUAGAAAGAAAAGUCCAAACAAAGCCGCUGCUCACAGCAAUCCUAUAGAGUAGAUAUAAAAGACUGUAAGCAAUGUCCUUGAAAGAGGGUGACAGACAAGCACACAAGGCCUGUGACGUUUGGGUGAGUUUAAUUCAGUACAGUGGCAGGUGCUGAGGGUUGUGGAGGGUUAUAAAGGCAUGUUUGCUAUGGUUUCUGCACAGAGCGCUCAGUUACCUGACAUCCAUUUUUGUUUUCUCGUGUGUUUAAAUCUCGUUCUUUAAUCGGUUCUGCCAAAAUCCACUCUGUCUUUCAGCUGUAUUAUAAUGAACUGAGAGAAAAUCAGAAUGGGUGGGGAAACUGCAGGGAGCCGAGCAAGACUUACAAAAAGGUAGGCCUAAAAUUAUAGGGCGCUUUGGGGUUGGAGAGAUAGCUCAGCUGUGAGACCCACUGACUUCUGCCCCAGCACCCAGCUCACAACCACUUCUAACUGCAGUUCCAGGGGACCCUGUGGCCUCGCUGGCCUCCACAGGUGCUGCACACAUGUGGUGCGCAAACGUACAUGCAAACUCUGAAACACAGGGUUGGGGAUUUGGCUCAGUGGUAGAGCGCUUGCCUAGCAAGCUCAAGGCCCUAGGUUCGGUCACCAGCUCUGAAAAAAAAGAAAAGAAAAAAAAAUCCUGAAACACAUAAACAUACAUAAAUAUCUUAAAACGCUGUUUUAAGGAAGGGACUUUAUCACAUCCUCUAACAGUAAGGACAUGGGAAAAAAUAUUACAGCUUUUUCCCCCUUCUAAUUUACAAAAGGAUUGCUGUCUUUCAUAACAAAUAUGGCUUAAAGAAUUCAGCACAUGGGCAAUCGCGCAAACCUGUAGACUCCUUGAACCACGUUGACUCUAGUACACGACGUCACUGGCUAGCACAUGGCGUCACUGACUAGCACAUUACGUCACUGCGCAUCGGCCUCCUCCCACAUCGACUCAUCUAUUAUUGCGUGCCUUUCCCUGCUUGGAAAACUUUUUCUUCCUUAGUCUCUUUGGUAGGCCUGCUGUCUCUCAGCCUUCACACCGGGUCUGAAUCCCAUCUCUCUUAGAGGAAGUCUCUGUGCCCAUCCCGGAAACAAGUCACCCAUUCCCAAAUGGGCAUCCGCUCUUUUUUUUUUUUUUUUCUUUUUUUUUUUUUCGGAGCUGGGGACCGAACCCCGGGCCUUGUGGUUGCUAGGCAAGCGCUCUACCACUGAGCCAAAUCCCCAACCCCUGCAUCCGCUCUUAUUGUUUCUCUUUGAGGGAAACUGCUGCCAGCCCUGGUGCCAAGAGCCUGUGACUUUGGCUUGGGCCAACCAGCACAUCCCAUCCCCACGCUCAUUGGUUCAGGGUUGGCAUGUGAUCUGGCAGUCCAAUCAGAGUGGCUCUUAGCAUUCUAGGCCUGAGCAUUAUCUCCUCCAUUUCCCUUUACCCCUCCCCCCAGCUUCCCUCUCCCUACCCCGCACCAUCUUCCUCCUUCUCCUUCCGGUGUCUGUAGUAGAAGUUUUGAGAUAGAAAACCAUUACAUUGACCUUACUGUCAUUUUGCUUGCCUCUGAUCUAGUGGUUCUCAAUCUGUAGAUCAUGACUCUCUCAGGAGUUAAAUGACCCUUUGACAGGGGCCUCCUAAGACUAUUGGGGAAACACAAAUAUUUAUAUUACAAUUAAUAAAAGUAGCAAAAUUACAGUAGCAGUGAAAAUAAUUUAUGGUCGAGGGUCACCUUAGGAAGGCUGAAAAACCAUUGCUCCCAUCCAAGUUUAUCGACCUAGGUUCUACAGACACCUUGGACUGUAGAUAACGCUGUGUUGUGCAUCAAAAAGGCCUUAGUUCAUUCCAGGCCACUACCCGUAGACAAUUUGUCUUCUGCUCACACCACAGCAACCAAACCUGUCCCUAGAUAUUGUCCAGUGUCCUUAAGGCACGUUCGCUCCAGCUGAGACUCCUCCCCUGUCUAGACAGUUCGAUUUAAGCCUGAAUGGUACAAAGCAACAUGGCGUUAGAAUGUACGCAUUGAGAAGAGAUCCUGGUUUGCUUUCUGAACCACAGAGGCUAAGAGACAGGCGACAAGCCAGACAGCUGCAUCCUGCAGAGAUCCCACAGGAGGGAGCUCCCACCAUUCCUGCCUCCUUUGGUCCCAAGGUGUGCCCACUGUUGUGAGGGUGGACAUAGCCAUUCCAGGGCAAUGGUAUUGGACCCCUUUGCUUCUUUACUUAGGAAAUGGUCAUUUGAGUGCCUGCAUGGUUAAUGAAAAUUGAGUAAUGUCUCCCUCGUGAGUCUUGCCUUACUUGCCAUUCUCUUGAAGAGAGAGAAAAUAUGAGGGGAUGUGCUAGCUGCAUGAUAGAUUAGAUUUGCCUGGCCUUUGAUCUAGACAAGGCAAAAUUAACUGGCGUGUGUGUGUGUGUGUGUGUGUGUGUGUGUGUGUGUGUGUGUGUGUGUGUGUCUUUCAUUCUCAAAUCCAGAAAGCCCUUGGGCAGGUGAGCAUAGGCGACCUGUCAGGAGCACAGAGCGGGUUAACCAUUCACACUACAGGGGGAGGCAGGAUCAUUUUUUGCCUUACAUAAUAUUCCGGGUUUCCACCCUGAGGACUAAAUUCACACACCAGAAAUAGAGGCUCUUUUCUUCUGUGCUUUGUUUUGUCAAUGCAUAUGAGAAAAGGGGAGCAGGAAGGAGAGCCUGUGCCCGGAGUCUUUUCUAUUCUGAGCUCUACUGGCAAAUUCAAAAUCCAUGAACCCAGACAGACACUUUAGGGUUACCUGUCCCGACCAGAAAAUACUCUCCAGAGUUUCGGUGUACUUUUUUUUAAUGGGUCAGAUAGAUUGUGGGUUUGGGGUGGGAUAUGCCUGCUAAGUACAGAUGUUUGCAGUCCGGUGCCUUUGUCUCAGUGGUACAUUGAGUUCUUUGAAGCAAGGGUGUGUUCGCUUUCCCAACGGAAUUAAUGAUUCACACAGGAAAGCGAGAAUGGCAGAAUUAAAAGAGGAAGAAAGAAAGAAAGAAAGAAAGAAAGAAAGAAAGAAAGAAAGAAAGAAAGACUAGUAUCGUGCAGCAUGGGAGGGCUUAUUUUUAAAGAGAAAGGCAGACUAACAUUCAUGCAGCAUGGCUAUGCCUGAAGGCUUGAAGCUCCAGUCUCCAUCCUCCUGCAGAUGGACCUGAAGAGCUAGUUGAGGUGAGAGGAGGGCAGCUACUCACACAUCUUGGACCAUAGACGAGUCCUCUGUCUAUUCUCUUUGACCGAGUGUGCAGCUUUGCAAAUGAUGAGGGAGGAAGGGAGAGCACCUAGCCAGCCAGGCAACCCUGAUCAGUGGGUGACAGAUGCCCCUCAAAUCCACGACCUGUCUUUAUCCAGCGAGUCAGAAUGAUUUUUCCCUUAUCUGCGGCCCGUGGAACAAAAUUCUUCCUCCUGGACACUCGGGGGCAGCUCAGUACCUUCGAGAAAGAAGCGUCACACUUUUUUUUUUUUUUUUUUUUGGUUCUUUUUUUCGGAGCUGGGGACCGAACCCAGGGCCUUGCGCUUCCUAGGCAAGUGCUCUACCGCUGAGCUAAAUCCCCAACCCCUAGUGUGAGUUUUAAUACACAGAACAUGAUGCACAGGGCAGCUCUCAGUGCUGGUGGUGUUGAUGGUGAGGUUGUCUCCAAGAAUGAAGAACUGACGAGUGUGACCUGCCUCACUUGCUGUCCCUACAGAGGACCUGGGUUCAUUCGGUUCCUAGCAUCCAGGACUCUGGUAUGUACAGCAGGCACUGUACCAACCAAACUGUCUUCCUGGCUCCACAUUUAUUCUCGAAGAAACACCGUCCUGUGUGUUUGUUGCCGGAAAGGGAAUGAGGGAUGGUGAGGAGGGGACCACGAUGGGAUAGAGGCGUCCAGUCACUGGGGAAGGAAGUGAGCAGAACAGAAGUAGGGGCGGCCUUCAAGGCCUCACCAUGGCAAGUUCCUCCAGUGAGCCUCUCCCUCCCAAAGCCUCUACAACCUUCCCAAACAGCCUGUGGAGAGGCAUUCCGUCUUCAAACCACAACACUGUGGGUCUCCAUGAAAUUGAUCAUAACAAAAUCAACACGGCCGCAUUGUUAUGACUGCCAAUUCUUCUGUAUAGCUUGUAUAACAAACCUGUCUAUUAACCUUCAACUCUCAGUGUGUUUUCCCUUGAACUGUAUUUCUUUUGAGUAGUCAAAACUACUGAGAAUACACAAGCACACUCAACUGUGCAUGCAUGCACGCACAAACACACACACACACACACACAGAAUAAGGAGGUGGGCUUAUGAGAUGGCUCACUGGGUAAAGCACUUGCUGAUCUUAGCUUUGCUCUUUUGGUUUUAUAUAUUUUUACUCUUUUGACUUAAGAGUCUCUCUCUCUGUAGACCAGGCUAGUCUCACACUCACUAUGUAGCCCAGAGGAGCCUUGGACUUGCUGUUUCCCAUCUGCCUCAGCCUUCUGACUUCUAUUCCACCUGGCAAGACCUUGUCCCUUGUCGAUGCCCACACCGACACAGUACCGAGAACCGGGCGAAAGCCUGCGGGAUUAAAACACACACACACACACACACACACACACACACACACACACACACACACCUGGGUUAUUCGUGUUAAGAAAGAAUGCCCAUUCUGUAGCUUUAUUUUCCAAAUAUAUACCCCAGGUUUACCAGGUGGAAAAAUCUAGGAAGCACAGUGGGAAACCCUGGCUCAAGACCAAAGACCGAAUAUAUGUGCCCCCAAUUUUCUGGGGAGAAAUCCGGGAAGACCAGCCUAAAUCUCAAAAACAAAAGACUAGGAAGACAAAAGACGGAUCGAAUUGACCUUCGCCCAGGUGGGGCGGGCCAAACUGCUCCUUUGUUAGGAACAAAAGGCUUCCACAUGCAUCAGCAGGGCUCAGCAGGGGUCAAACCCUGCAAGGGACCCAGAAGGGUCUGACAACGGGGUGAAACACGGCAGGGGACCCAGGAGGCUCUGACAGUCCCUGUGGAAGGAGCACCAUGGUGUUAGUUGCUGUGUUGAACAUGACAACCAAAAGUAACUUGAGGGAGAUCAGGGCAGAAACUCAAGGUGGGGACCAGGGGCAGAGGCCAUGGUGGAACGUUGCUUACUGGCCUGCUCUCUCACUCAGCUAAUUUCCGACAUAUCCCACAAUCAUGUGGCCUAGGAUGGGGCUGUCCACAGUGAGCCGGGACCUUCUACUUCAAUAAAAAAAAAUUAAAAAAAGCAUUAAUAAAGAAAAGGUCCACCUACUUAUCAGGCAGGCUAAUCUGAGAGAGGAAAUUCCUCAGAUGAAACUAUUCCCAGAUGAGUCUAGCUUGUACCAAGUUGAGAAAACAAAACAAAACCCUGACAACCACAAGGGCCUCCAUCCCUAUCCUCAGGAACCAGUUCUUUUCUUUUUUAAGAUUUAUUUAUUUAUUAUCUAUAAGUACACUGUGGCUGCCUCCAGACACCAGAAGAGGGCAUCAGAUCCCAUUACAGAUGGUUGUGAGCCACCAUGUGGGUGCUGGGAAUUGAACUCAGGACCUCUGGGAGAACAGUCAGUGCUCCUAACCACUGAGCCAUCUCUCCAGCCCCUGAAGCAGUUCUUAGAACUGCCCAAAGUUAUGGGCCUGUCCUGCACAUUUGGUGUUACCAUAGCAAUCACUGAAGAUGAUACAUUGAGCUCUGUUGGGAGAAGAGACAACUAGGUGUCCAUCUGGGGAGCUACAACAUCUUUGGUGAAAAUUACUCACUUUCUGGGAAUUUCACUUUGGAAAAUGUGGAUAAGGAACUCCCCUCCCUGAGGUGUUAGAGGGCCGAUUAUAAAGCAAUGUGACCUGAAUACUUGCCAUGCUUGCCAUAAAAAGGGACACAAGAAGUAACAGUUACUGGGUGUAAGUGUCUUGACUCCCAAGCCCUUGUUACCCAAGGAUUAUAAGGGGAAACUUUGAAGCUAUUGGCCUGUCUUCAUGCUGUACAAUACGUUGCCCAAAUAACAAGACUGUUCUCACAUAGUGAAAAUUUUCACAAACUUCAAAGUGGCAGGUCUGGGGAUGGAGAGAUGGCUCAGUGGUUAGAGCACUGGCUGCUCUUGCAGAAGACCCGGGCUUGGUUCUCAGCACCCAUGCAGUGGCUCACAACAGUCUGUAUGUCCUCUGCUGGCCUUUGUGGGCACUGUAUGCACAUGGUGCACAAACAUAGCCUCAGGCACAUGCACAGACACAUUAAAUUCAAUCCUUAAAAAAAAUCUUAUCUGUAGAAAUAUCUUUGCAGAUAAUUACAAAUAUUUUUUGGAAUCUAAAAGUUUCUUUCUACUUUCCACAAGUCUACUAAGAAUGUUUUGCAUAUGUCAGGUCUUUACUGUGUAACAUAGAAAGGAUUAGCUUUACUCUCUGCCUUUGUCUCAGUAGCAUUACACUUAUGGCCCCAUUUUUUCUUUCUUUUCUUUUUUUUAAAGAUUUAUUACAUACAGUGUUCUGCCUGCAUAUAUGCCUUCAUGCCAGAAGAGGGCAUCAGACCUCAUUACAGAUGGUUGUGAGCCACCAUGUGGUUGCUGGGAAUUGAACCCAGGACCUCUGGAAGAACAGUCAGUGCUCUUAACCACUGAGCCAUCUCUGUUGUGUUUUAUAAACAUAGAGAGAGAAGGACUAUGUUUGGUGGAUGUGCAGUCAGGUGUGGGGCAAGAGGUUCCUCUACGGGCCCAUGCCGAGGCAUCCCUUCCCUGAGGGACCAGCCACGUGAUGGUGUCGUGAUGGUGUCGUAUAGAAUAGAGUUUACUCAGGACAUGGGGAGGGGAACUGAGAGGGUGGUAAAGCCAGGGAAAGGCAGAGAGCCAGCAGAGGAGUAGAGUCCAGCCAUGAACGGUGAAGGGGGGCGAGCAGGAGGGAGAGGACAGAGGGAGAGCAAGAAGGCAAGAGACAGGGGCUUGGGGAUUUAGCUCAGUGGUAGAGCGCUUGCCUAGGAAGCGCAAGGCCCUGGGUUUGGUCCCCAGCUCCGAAAAAAAAAAAGAACCCAAAAAAAAAAAAAAAAAAAAAAAAAAGAAGGCAAGAGACAGAGGAGGGGCCAAGCAGCCCCUUUUUAUAGUGACUGGCUGUUGCCAGGUAACUGUGGGGAGGAGCCUAGACAAAAUGCAGACAAUCUCUGCGGCCUUCAUGGCCCCAUUUUCUUUUCUUUCAUUGUCUACCUUCCCCCUACCCCCACAUGCCCCCCAGAACUGAGGACCAAACCCAGGGCCUCAACCACUGAGCUAAAUCCCCAACCCGUGGCCCCAUUUUCAACAUUGUCUUAAAAUGCAUUACGUAUGCGGCCCCGUAAAUGGAUAGCUACAACAUCAUAAACUUUUCCAAAAGACUGUUGUGGUGUCAUACAUGAAUGAGCCAGCCACCCAUCUCUGACCACCCAGCCUGGAAGUUUCCCGCCCCUGGAACUCCUCCCGUGAACCCUCAUUAUGAGGAAGGAAUGCAGAUUUUCAGAGAUAAUUAUCGUCAACCACAAAAAUAGCAGGCCUGCUGAGGUGAGAAAUAGAAACAUGUCUAUGUGACUGGGGUGUGACUUAGUGAUAGAGAGGGCUCGUGUGGCACGGCAUGAGGCUGCAGACUUGCUCUCCUGAACCAAAAAAGACAGCAUGGUAAGACAAUGAAGGAAGCGACACCGAAGCCCACAGCUUGGGGACUAGAGAGAGCUCAAUUUAAUUCGGAAUGUGUCUGAACACAUCCAUCAUUUUCAACUCUAAAGUCUUCCCUCAUCCACUCACCAAACACGUCCACUUCGUACUGAGUACACAUCACUGUCAUUUACUUAGGCUCUUAAAAAAAAAAUCUUACCUUAGUGCUCUAAGGCCUGUAGGCAGGAGAUUGUCUUUGAGUGUUUAAAGGCAUGUAGCAGUUUGGAGGACUUCUCUUGCAUGGGUAGUAAAUCUCUGGGAAAUAAUGGGGAGAUGGAGAGAGAGAGAGAGAGAGAGAGAGAGAGAGAGAGAGAGAGAGAGAGAGAGAGAGAGAGAGAGAGAGAGAGAACUUUAAACCUGUCCAGAAAAAAAAAUACACAGUGAAGAUAUCUAUCAACUUUUAAUUGCUUUUGUUUGUUUGUUUGUUUGUUUGUUUCUAAUUAGUUCCUCCUUAGGGUAAUCCGGAAGAAGUUGGUCCCGGUGUUGGUGUCGCACUGUUUUUUUUUCCGGAGCUGGGGCGGAACCCAGGGCCUUGCGGUUGCUAGGCAAGCGCUCUACCACUGAGCCAAAUCCCCAACCCUGGUCCCGGUGUUGGGAGAAGGGGCUGGUGUCUGUAGCUGGCUAGCCCAACCUUGUUGUCAUGCCAACCUGGUGGUUUUUGUCCAACUGUUUCUGCAGAAGGGUGAUCCACCGACCCCUACUUCAAGCCACUGGUCAUACCUCUGACCCUCAUCCAAGGACCACAACAAAGCAAGACGAAGGAUGAGCUUUGCUCUUGAUGAGGGCCCCAACCACAAACGCUGCCUGACCUGCAGAAUAAAUUCAUGUCAAAGCACUUCUGAGUGAAGAAUAAACUCGACUCUGUUUGAACUAGAGCACAGGAGGGUAAAUAAAUCCUGGAAAUGAGCAUCCUAUGCAGAGAGUCGGAAUCCUGGAGACGUGAAUUUAUUUUCUUUGCCACUCAGGGGAGCCAGAGACUCAUGAACAUCACACACUAACUGCCAAAGAGGCAGAGAAACAGUGUUUCUUUUUGGACUUAGUCACUAGUGACAAAAACCCCAGCAAACAAAGAAACGGAAAGAAGCAAAAUGCAACAAUAAGAACCACAGCAAAACACAGUAGCAAUAGGAAAGGAAAGGCAUUAAUUCUUAUGCCCAGAGGGGUUGGAGGGAACUCAUGGUUUAGCUGCAGCCUUGUCUACAAGGGAGUGUGGGGGUGUGGGGGUGCGGGUGUGUGUGUGUGUGUGUGUGUGUGUGUGUGUGUGUGUGUGACGUUGUGUUCAGGGCUUACUCAGUCUCUCUGUGUGUCCAUUUCUUGGCUGAGGAAUACUCUGCGGAUUUCAUUCCCAGGAGCUCCAGAGUAACUUUUUUUUGGGUUUUUUUUUUUUUUUUUUUUUUUUGGAGCUGGGGACCGAACCCAGGGCCUUGUGCUUCCUAGGUAAGCGCUCUACCACUGAGCUAAAUCCCCAGCCCCCAGAGUAACUAUUUUUACAGCCUUGAAGACAGGAGCCAGCAUGUGUCACCUGCCUCCCCUCAUGUCACUGGGACACCUGGCCCAUGCAAGUGUAGGAGUGUUAACCCCCAAUGGACCUCAGAACCUCUGCCAAAUGGUUUGGAGUGCUGCCACAGACAUUUAAAAGAAAGAAAGAAAGAAAGAAAGAAGGAAAGAAAGAAAGAGAGGAAGAAAGAAAGAGAGAAAGAAAGAAGAAAAAGUAAAUUUCAGGGUUGCUGACUAUGGGGAAGACGAUAGCAUCUCAGUCCACUGUUGGGUACCAAGCCUGUGUUUUCAGAUAACCUCUCAAGAGCCCUCAUAGAUACCUUCCAUCGAGAAGGCUAAGUUGAUUCCCUGACAGGCUUCAAAUUAGCUGUUAAGGAGUCUGCGUUUACAAACCCAGGCUUCAGGCAGCUCAUCAGAAACUGUCUCACCACCUGGCCUGAAACAAGGACAAUGGGUCAGCAGUUUCCAUCCAGGCACCUGGACCCAGUAAUGGAACAUACUUAGAGACAGAGUAAGACCAAACUCACCUACCCCAGGAUUCCUCUGCAAGUUUCCAGCCACCACGCCCUGGUAAAGGUUCUGGAAUGCUUAGAGACAGUGUAAGAGGAAGCCCAUCUACCCUGGAAUUCCCCUAAGGUGCUUUAAAUUGGGCCUGGGAGCUCACUUCAUGGUCUCUCUAUCUUGGUAAUGGGAGACCCCAGUAUACUGCACUUCUGCAGAAUAGAACCCUCUCUGUGUUUACAUACUAUUUGAGUCUGGUAUCGUUCUUUGGAAAAUCAUGGACCCUUACACCAUGAUCACUCCCAGUUUACAAAUAAGGGGGAAGGGGUUGGGGAUUUAGCUCAGUGGUAGAGCACUUGCCUAGCAAGUGCAAGGCCCUGGGUUCGAUCCUCAGCUCUGGGGGGAAAAUAAAUGAGAGGGAAGCCCUUCUGGACUCAAGAGUUUCGAUGAGGAAUGCGUGUAAGGAAUGGAGUUAAGUUCGAGUUCUGAAGCCCUUGCUGGAACCAAUGGGGAGGGACAGAAUGGAUGAGGACCUGGGACAGGCAGGUGUGGGAUAUGGGAGUCCGUGCCUUGGAGGAAUGGUUACACUUUACGCCACUGGUUCUGGAUGGGUAAAUUUGAGAGAAUGUGACGUUUAGGUUCCAUUUAUGGCAGAGGCUCGAGACUGAUACUCAGCAUCUUGUGGAGCUAAGAUAGGACAAAUCUUCAUGUCUGGGUGGGGUCUCACAAAGAAUAAACAGUUUUUCACCCUGGAGACGGGCCUGUUUUGGAGGCUGCUUUCACUAGAUAAGUCCAGUCCUGGGAGGCUCAUAAUCCAUUGGGGGCUUUAGUCUUGUUACUUGGUCUCCCUGUUAAUGAGACCAAACUGCUAAUCCUUUUUGGGGAUUGCAGAGUCCCAAAUGGGGACAGAGUCCUAACACAGAUGGCUGAGCAGGAAGCAGGAACGGACAAGCCGGACCAGGAGGGAGAAAGGUGCUCACUGUUCUUAAGCCUUUGAUUUUAAGCUGCGAGCCAAAGGGCUCCAGAAAACGAGCUGGCUUACAGAUUCAGAGAUUCAGUCCAUAAUCAUCAAGGCAAGAACAUGGCAGCAUCCAGGCAGGCAUGGUGCAGGAGGAGCUGAGAGUCCUACAUCUUCAUCUGGUGGCUGCUAACAGAAUACUGGUUUCUAAGCAGGAUUUCUUUAUUGUGCACACAGUGCUCUGCCUGCAUGUGUGGCUCCACACCAGAAGAGGGCACCAGAUCGCAUUAUAGAUGGUUGUGGGCCCCCAUGUGGUUGCUGGGAACUGAGCUCAGAAUCUCUGAAUGACCCGCACUCCUCCAUGGCCUCUGUGUCAGCUCCUGCCUCUAGGUUGCCGGACUUCCCUCAGCGGUGGACUAUGGUGUGGAAGUGUAAACUGAAUAAACCCCGUUCCUUCCCAAUUUGCUUUUGGCCAUGGUGUUCCAUCAGAGCUAAAGAAACCCUGACCAAGGACACACAGGGACCAUUUAAAAUACAAAAACUCCAAGGCGGUUGGGGGAGAUGGAGAAAGCCUGAGUACCCUCUUCCAGGAGAUGGAUGAGAAGUUAUUUCUCAGCCGGUAAAAUGAGCCAAUUCGAGUCAAAUUAGAUUAUAUUAAACACAAGUUUAUUGGGAAACUGCUCUUGGGCGAAUUAACUGGCCCCAGGGAAGGAGGUCAGGGAAGUCGCCACGGGAAGGGAAAGAGAGAGAAGAGGGGGAAGACAGAGAGGAAGAGAGGAGACCAAAACGUCUGGAUAAUAUGGGGAGGAGCCUCUGGGGGAAAGGCAGCCCAGGCUGGAAAGUUCAGAGUUGGGGGCAGGUAUACAAGGUAGGAACUGAGGGACGCUGGGAGAACCUGGAGGCCAGGCCUGCCCUGGUAUGUAAGAUAUGUACCUCAGUCCUUUGUCCUGGGUCUGAAGCCAAGUGGACAAGGGUGUGUCCUUGUGGCGACUUGAAGUGGUUCUCAACCUGUGGGUCAGUCACGACCCCCUUGGGGCAUUCACAUACCAAAUAUCCUGCAUAUUCGAUAUUUACGUUACAACUCAAAACGGUAGCAAAAUUACAGUUAUGAAGUAGCAAGAAGAAUAAUUUUAUAGUUAAGGGGUCACUGUUAGCUUCUCUUCUAGACUCCGCCCAACAGUAACCUAGCAACAGCGAGGUAAAGCCUGGCUUGCUAUAAAAGGACUGUUUUGGCCUCUCUGGCUCUCUCCCUCUCCCUCUCCCUCUCUCUCCCUGUCCUUCUCCGUCCUCUUUCUUUCUCUGCUUCCACUCCCUUCUCA